UACAGAGGUCUCAAGCGUUUGUUCGGAUUCAUUGGGCGUAAAGGGUGUGUAGGUGGCGCCGUAAGUCGGGUGUGAAAUUUUCGGAGCUUAACUCCGAAAACUGCAUUCGAUACUGCGGUGCUUUGAGGACUUGGAGAGGAGACUGGAAUUCAUGGUGUAGCAGUGAAAUGCGUAGAGAUCAUGAGGAAGACCAGUGGCGAAGGCGGGUCUCUGGACAGUUCCUGACACUGAGACACGAAGGCCAGGGGAGCAAACGGG
rnacentral:rRNA from 1 species